AUUGAACGCUGGCGGCAGGCUUAACACAUGCAAGUCGAGCGGGGUGAUGGUGCUUGCACUAUCACUUAGCGGCGGACGGGUGAGUAAUGCUUAGGAAUCUGCCUAUUAGUGGGGGACAACAUCUCGAAAGGGAUGCUAAUACCGCAUACGUCCUACGGGAGAAAGCAGGGGAUCACUUGUGACCUUGCGCUAAUAGAUGAGCCUAAGUCGGAUUAGCUAGUUGGUGGGGUAAAGGCCUACCAAGGCGACGAUCUGUAGCGGGUCUGAGAGGAUGAUCCGCCACACUGGAACUGCGACACGGCCCAGACUCCUACGGGAGGCAGCAGUGGGGAAUAUUGGACAAUGGGGGGAACCCUGAUCCAGCCAUGCCGCGUGUGUGAAGAAGGCCUUAUGGUUGUAAAGCACUUUAAGCGAGGGGGAGGCUCUUUUGGUUAAUACCCAAGAUGAGUGGACGUUACUCGCAGAAUAAGCACCGGCUAACUCUGUGCCAGCCGCCGCAGUAA
rnacentral:rRNA from 1 species